GUUCGACCUUCCCUCGUGGUUCGACACCUCGUUCGAUCCCCCCACCUCGUUGGACACGUAUCAUUGGGCCACCUCCUUCCCACGAUCCAUCCACGAGACCAUGAUCGCCUCUCGCGAGAACCGCAACGAUCUUUUUACAGCACCUCCCACACUUCCAACCCUCCGGUUUAUAAGGGGAAAAACCAAAAAAGAAACAACCCUACCCACGCAUGCACGUUUCCUAUGCAAUCCAGAACUGCCGCUAGACCAGGCAAAAUCAACGCACCGACGGGAGGCCGCCAUGUGCACCGUUUCAAUGGUGUUCCUCCUCGAGGAGCGCGUCACUAGCAUGACGCGGGCGGGGAAGUGGUGGAUGCGCAGGGUUCACGCCUACGUUUGGGGUGGCCAUCGCGCUCUACCUCCCGGCCUCUGAACUCACCAGCAUCGGUCGCCGCGGCGGCGUUGUCUCUAUCGUCUUCAUCGAGAUGCUCCUGGUGGUCCUCUAUAAAGCCCCGAGCCCUGGACAGGGUUGAUCGUCGAGGCGGAAGCGGCUGAGGCCCGGUGCCCCCUCGAAUUGCCACGACUCAUGGAGGAGCAGAAAACAAGCCGGCAGCGUGCCUGAGCUAGGGCAGUGGCGGCUGCAAUCCAGGACCGCUCGUCUCGGCAUCGCAGAAUCGCAGGCGAGGGCGCCGGUGACGGCUGCCAGGUGCUCGUGGGGCUACUGAAGGGCGCGGGCGAGGCACAUGGUUGAUGCUUGGGACAGCUGCGGAGCGGCGUGCGCGAGUGCAGGGCAGGCAGUAGCCAGGGCGGCGGGAGAGGACCUAGGACACGUUGUGUUCAUGUAAUCAUCUUGUUCGUCUCUCCCUUUUGUUCGUCCUGUGUGACUAUGUUUUCCUCUUAUAUCCUGUAGCUCUAACUAUGCUUUCCUCUUGCAUCCUGUAGCUUUAAGAACGACUUGUGCAGGUAAUUUAUUUCUGGUCACCAAAACAAGUUUGUUCUUACAC